UAUUGCCGAUGUAGCCAGAGGUCC
rnacentral:piRNA from 1 species